AACUGUGGAACAUUUGGUUUGUAGUGGGCGGGUAUGAAUUGUUGCUGCAUUUCCCAUUUCAUUUUGGACUAAGUAGUGACCUUGUCAUUUCCCUUAUGCUGGCAUAAGUACUUCAUAUUUUGCGAUCAAAUUAAUGUACUUUUUUUUAGCUUACUAGUGACUAGUUUCAUCAUCCUAUUUGGGGAGACGUUCUGACACUCAAAGACAGUCCAAGGUCUAGAGCCUUUCGAUGACCUCAUCCGGAUCUAUCGUGAUUAUAAAAUUCGUGUUUGGCAGUUGAAUUGGUACAACAGUUGUACUCACCUGAUUUGACCUGGAAUAUCUAAGAAGCCAUAAUUGAUAAGCAAAGGUGGAUUUGCCAAAUUUCUAAGAAGCUAUAAUAUAAAUAGUUGUAUUAUACAGGUGAGUACAACUGGUGAUUGUGUUAAAUAAUGAUGAAUUGGUACUUAUAAAUGAAUAGAAGAGAAUAUGUUCUAGUUUCCACUUGUGCAUUCUAGGUCAGUUAUACUCGAGCUUCAUAUGCCAUUCCAUCACCGCGUUUGCAUCCACAUCCAUGCACAUACAUUGUCACGCAGAAAAAAUCAUGAAUUUCCUCAAAUUCACCUUUUUCCGACAUAAAUAUGUUCUUACUAUAGUGGUUAUUAUCAACGAUACCAUAAACUUGUAGUUAGUGAUUAUUCGAAGCAUUAUAUAGGUAAAUUAUCAGCUCAGCUUUUGUUUUUCUUUUGUUUCUUUUAGAUUAUUUUUGACAAUAUUCUCAACUGUAAAAUACCAUGGCCCCGAGUAGCUGAAGAAAUGAGUCUUGAAGCUCAAGAUCUUAUUCGCAGGCUGCCUUUGUUCCCUCUUCAAAUAAUGCAACUGAUACUAGCUAUUUCACGAGUCGCUACUCAUGGAAUCCUUCAAGUGAGCUUAUUAAUGAGGCCAGUCAAUUUGAGGAUUCUUUGGGCAGUGGAAGCAUAAGUGGUGCCGGUAGUUGCUCCAGUAAUCGUCAAGAUGUGGGGGAUGAGUAUGACGGCCUUGAGGAGUUUGAUUCUGAAGAAUUUGUGAAUUACUCAUUCAGUAAUUUCUCUUUCAAGAAUCUCUCCCAGCUCGCAUCGAUCAAUUAUGAUUUGCUUAAUAAGGGCUGGAAAGAUGGUCAAUCAAAACCAGAUUUUUAAUCUUGCUCUCUCGAAGUUCUCAUUUUGUUAGGAGCGGAACAGUGGGGAAUAAGAGCUUUGUCAACUAUACAUUUUCGUUGUAAAUAGGUAGGAGCUGAAUCUGCUAAUCCGGAGAUUAAUCACUUCGCUUUCUUGUGGAGAUGUAAAGUUCUAUACAAUAGUUUUCUAGAGUUUUAGGGUUUGGGACAGUAAUGAUUUUCCUCUCUCUCUCUCUCUCUCUCUCUCUCUCUCUCUCUCUCUCUCU